ensembl:lncRNA
UUCCUCUUCCCCUUCCAAUUUCUCUUCCCCUUCUCAUUCCCUUUCCACCUUCAUCUUAAUUCUUUCCCUUCUCAUUACUGUCUCUUUCCCCCUUCCCCUUGCACUUCACCUUCCACUUACCUUUCUCCUUACUCUUAUCCUUCUCCCUUACCCUUAUGCUUACCCUUAUCCUUUGCCCUUCCUGUUCCCUUUCCCCCUUACACUUAACUUACACUUUGCUCUUCCUUUACUCUUUCAUUCUUUAUUCAUUCUCCUUCCCAAUCUCCUACCCUCUUUCUUCCACUUUCCCCUUUCCUUUGCACUUCCCCUUCCCUUUCUCCUCCCCCUUACUUUUCUCUCUUAUCCUUUGCCCUUCCCCUUUCACUUCCACCUAAUUCUUACUUUUACUCACUCCCCUUCCCCUCCCCUUCCCUUACUGAUUUCCCCUUCCCCUUCUCCUGCUUCUUCUUCCUCCUGUGCUUCCCCUUCUCUUUUUCCUUUCCCUUUGCCCCUCCCCUCCUCUUCUCUUUUCCUUCCAUCUUUUCCUUGCUCUAUCCCCUUACUUUCCCCCUCACAUUCCCUUUUCUUUAUCCCUUUCCCCUUCCAAUUUCCCUUAGCCCUUUCCAUUCAACUCCCAUCUUCCCCUUUCCCCUUCUCAUUCCCCUUCCCCUUCCUUUCCAUUCCUCUUUNNNNNNNNNNNNNNNNNNNNNNNNNNNNNNUUUCCCUUCUGCUUUGCUAUCAUCCUUCUCCUUUCCCAUCUCCUUCCCCUUGCUUUCCAAUUCCCCUGUUUCCCUCCCCCUCCAUUCCACAAUUCCCUCGCUUACCUGCUCCCACAUUUCUCCUUUCCCCUUCUUUCAUUUCCUCUUUAACCUUCCCCAUUCCCUUCCCCUGCCCACCCCCUUUCCCUUUCCUCUUCUCCCUUUCCUUUUCCCUUCCUCUUUCUCCAUCCAUUUCCCCUUCAUCCUUCCCUUUCUUCUUCUUCUCCACCCUUCCCCUUUCCUUUUCAUCUUCUCCCGUCCCCUACCUGUUCCCCUUCCACCUUCCCUUUCUCCUUCCUCUUCUCCCUUCCCCUUCUACCUGUUUCCUUCCCAUCUUCCCCUUUCCCAUUCUCCUUUCCUUCUCCUUCCUCUUUUUCCUUUCACCACCUGAUCUCCUCUCACCUUCCCCUUCUUCUUGCCCUUCCCCUUCCCUCUUCUUGUCUUCCCCAUCCCCUCUCCCUGCUCUUUACGCCUCUCUCCUCUUCCCUUUCUCCUUCCCCUCCCAUUUCCUUUUCCCCUUCCCUCCCCCCUCUCCUUUCCCUUUCCACUUCCUCUUCCUUUUCCUCCUUCCCCUUCGCCCUUCCUUUCCUUUUCCUUUCCCCUCCUGUUCCACUCCCCUUUCCCUUUCUCAUUCCCCCUUCUCUUUCCAUUUCCCCCACCCCCUUCCUCCUCCUGUUUCCCUUUCCCUCUCCCCUUUCUCUUCCUCCUUUCACGUCCCUUCCACUCCUCUUACCCUUUCACUCUCCCCUUCCUUUAUUUUUCCCCUUCAGUGAAUCCUUCAUCUUCAGUCUUCUCCUACACCUUUCUCCUUCUCUUCUCCUUCUCCCUUCCUCUUUUCCCUUCUCCAUCCCCUUCCCCUUCACUUCCUCUUCCUCCUUUUUCUCCCCCUUCCCUAUCCUCCUUCCCCAUAUCCUUUCCCCUUCCCCAUCUCCAUUCCCCUGCCUCCUUCCCCUUCCCCCUUCUUCUUCUCCCUUCUCUUUCACCUGCCACUUCUCUUCCUUUUUCCUUUGCCUUCCUCUUCCCUUCCCAUUCUCCUUAUUCCAGCUUCUUCCAUUUUCAUUCCCCUUCCUCUUCUCCCUUACCCUUAUUCUUUGCCCUUCCCCUUCCCCAGCUGUCUCCAGUUCACCCCCAACUUUGUCACUAUGGUGCCAUCUCCAUGUCCCCAGUAUCCCCAGUGCCUCCACUGUCCCCAGUGUCCCCAGUGUCCCCAUGUCCCCCACUAUCCCCAAUGCCUACAAUAUCCCCAUUGCUCCCAUUGCACACAAUGUCCCUAUUGUCCCCCUCCAAAAAAAGCACUUUGCACCAGCCCCAUUGUCACCCCCCAUGCUGUGACCCACAUCCUGUAUCACCGUGGCUAGGAGGUGUAUGUCACUCCCCCUCGGAGUGACUCAU